rnacentral:ncRNA from 2 species
AGAUGAGGUAGAGGUCGCAAACAUGAUGAUUAGGCGUGCGGAGGCGAAGAGUCGCUCAUGAUGCACGAGGAAAGGCUUGUUUGCCGAAGUGCCGGGGAGACUCUGAUCACCCGGAGCUGGGGCCGUCGCCGAACAGGCGCGGAACUGUCACGGGAGGUCCCUCCCGUGUUGAGCUAUCGUCAAG